rnacentral:rRNA from 1 species
GGGACUGAGACACGGGCCAGACUCCUACGGGAGGCAGGAGUGGGGAAUAUUGCACAAUGGGCGCAAGCCUGAUGCAGCGACGCCGCGUGAGGGAUGACGGCCUUCGGGUUGUAAACCUCUUUCAGUAGGGAAGAAGCGAAAGUGACGGUACCUGCAGAAGAAGCGCCGGCUAACUACGUGCCAGCAGCCGCGGUAAUACGUAGGGCGCAAGCGUUAUCCGGAAUUAUUGGGCGUAAAGAGCUCGUAGGCGGUUUGUCGCGUCUGCUGUGAAAGACCGGGGCUCAACUCCGGUUCUGCAGUGGGUACGGGCAGACUAGAGUGCAGUAGGGGAGACUGGAAUUCCUGGUGUAGCGGUGAAAUGCGCAGAUAUCAGGAGGAACACCGAUGGCGAAGGCAGGUCUCUGGGCUGUAACUGACGCUGAGGAGCGAAAGCAUGGGGAGCGAACAGGAUUAGAUACCCUGGCAGACCAUGCCGUAAACGUUGGGCACUAGGUGUGGGGG